rnacentral:rRNA from 1 species
UAGGGAAUCUUCGGCAAUGGGGGGAACCCUGACCGAGCAACGCCGCGUGAGUGAAGAAGGUUUUCGGAUCGUAAAGCUCUGUUGUUAAGGAAGAACGAGUGUGAGAAUGGAAAGUUCAUACUGUGACGGUACUUAACCAGAAAGGGACGGCUAACUACGUGCCAGCAGCCGCGGUAAUACGUAGGUCCCGAGCGUUGUCCGGAUUUAUUGGGCGUAAAGCGAGCGCAGGCGGUUAGAAAAGUCUGAAGUGAAAGGCAGUGGCUCAACCAUUGUAGGCUUUGGAAACUGUUUAACUUGAGUGCAGAAGGGGAGAGUGGAAUUCCAUGUGUAGCGGUGAAAUGCGUAGAUAUAUGGAGGAACACCGGUGGCGAAAGCGGCUCUCUGGUCUGUCACUGACGCUGAGGCUCGAAAGCGUGGGGAGCGAACAGGAUUAGAUACCCUGGUAGUCCACGCCGUAACGAUGAGUGCUAGGUGUUGGGUCCUUUCCGGGGCUCAGUGCCGCAGCUAACGCAUUAAGCACUCCGCCUGGGGAGUACGACCGCAAGGUU